GGCCCAGAUUCCUACGGGAGGCAGCAGUGGGGAAUAUUGCACAAUGGGCGAAAGCCUGAUGCAGCAACGCCGCGUGAGGGACGACGGCCUUCGGGUUGUAAACCUCUUUUAGCAGGGAAGAAGCGAAAGUGACGGUACCUGCAGAAAAAGCGCCGGCUAACUACGUGCCAGCAGCCGCGGUAAUACGUAGGGCGCAAGCGUUAUCCGGAAUUAUUGGGCGUAAAGAGCUCGUAGGCGGUUUGUCGCGUCUGCUGUGAAACCCCGAGGCUCAACCUCGGGCCUGCAGUGGGUACGGGCAGACUAGAGUGCGGUAGGGGAGAUUGGAAUUCCUGGUGUAGCGGUGGAAUGCGCAGAUAUCAGGAGGAACACCGAUGGCGAAGGCAGAUCUCUGGGCCGUAACUGACGCUGAGGAGCGAAAGGGUGGGGAGCAAACAGGCUUAGAUACCCUGGUAGUCCACCCCGUAAACGUUGGGAACUAGUUGUGGGGUCCAUUCCACGGAUUCCGUGACGCAGCUAACGCAUUAAGUUCCCCGCCUGGGGAGUACGGCCGCAAGGCUAAAACUCAAAGGAAUUGACGGGGACCCGCACAAGCGGCGGAGCAUGCGGAUUAAUUCGAUGCAACGCGAAGAACCUUACCAAGGCUUGACAUAUACGAGAACGGGCCAGAAAUGGUCAACUCUUUGGACACUCGUAAACAGGUGGUGCAUGGUUGUCGUCAGCUCGUGUCGUGAGAUGUUGGGUUAAGUCCCGCAACGAGCGCAACCCUCGUUCUAUGUUGCCAGCACGUAAUGGUGGGAACUCAUGGAAUACUGCCGGGGUCAACUCGGAGGAAGGUGGGGAUGACGUCAAAUCAUCAUGCCCCUUAUGUCUUGGGCUUCACGCAUGCUACAAUGGCCGGUACAAUGGGCUGCAAUACCGCAAGGUGGAGCGAAUCCCAAAAAGCCGGUCCCAGUUCGGAUUGAGGUCUGCAACUCGACCUCAUGAAGUCGGAGUCGCUAGUAAUCGCAGAUCAGCAACGCUGCGGUGAAUACGUUCCCGGGUCUUGUACACACCGCCCGUCAAGUCAUGAAAGUCGGUAACACCUGAAGCCGGUGGCCCAACCC
rnacentral:rRNA from 1 species